rnacentral:lncRNA from 1 species
AAAAAUACAAAAAAAAAAUCAAUAAAUUGACUAGGAGAGGAGUUAAUAGUGGCCACAAUCGGGAGGACUACAACUGAUAAAUGCUCCUUAUAUAGGAGCAAAUAAACUUUAGGACAACUAACAUCAAAGCCUAAAAGCCAAUGGAUUAAAAAGAAAACCAAAUCUAAAACAAACUAUUAAAAUUAAUGUCUGAAAAUAAGUAAAUCUGUAUUUUGAAGGCCUAAACGGACUCGGAUGGCCUAAAAAGCUCAUACGUUGUGGCAAAGCGACGAGUUUGGUUGGUUGGGCCGUUUCGCUUCUAGAAAUGUAUCAUAAUAGUCAAUCAGACACCGAACUCCAAAUCUGAAGCAAACCGGGUUUAGACUUGUUUCGAUCGUUCUCGCCAUCUGUUCUAUAUAUAUCACAUUUUAUGAGUAUUAAUUAGCAGAAAGUGAAAUAUAAAUGAUUUCCCAACUUAAGUGACGAAUUUUGUCAUUUUCGUUGCUUUAAAACGUAUAUUCUUUGGCGGGAAGUCAAAAAAUUUAGUCACUUAGGCGACGAUAUGGCGACGAAAAAGAAACAUAUCGUCGCCUAAGUCCCAAAAUAUUUGGCGGGCUGCAUUUCAGGACCAAAUUUUGGCCCAAAUUUAAACAAACUUAAGCGACAGAAGUUUUAAAUGUUUUCGUCGCUUAAGCCUCACUAUGUAUAUUGUUUCAGUGCUUAAUUUCUCAAUCCCUAACAUUGCCAAAAAUCCCAAACUCGUAGACGCUCCUCCUUACCAGUCCAAAUCCCUUCACUCCCUCUUCCUCCUCUUGCCCAACCCCUUUGCAUUUGAGAAGCCCUAAAUCCCACUUCGCAUUUGAGAAGCCCGAUUCCUCCAAUCUCUAGGUUUUUCGAUUCCUUCCUCCUCCACCCUUCACAAAACCCAGCCACAUCCUCCUCUCACUAUGCCACCGGGGCACAGGAAAAGGAAAGCUCGGGAGGAGGUGGAGGAGUGUCUGUGACUGGAGUGUGUGCAACAGUACGACUCCUCUUUUCCCGGAUCCAACCAAGCCACUGCGCCUAUAGGAUCCCUUACUUCGUUGGCUCCCCCUCUAACCAAGGACGAUGACGAGUCGACGACCCAAGUAGCAUAAACACCGGCUGAGGGUGCACCCAGGGUUUUCAGCGCUUGCCGAAAACUAAAGAAAACCGGAGGACCUCCCCAGAAAGGCAAUCAGGAUGUGGUGAACAAAGCAAAGGUGGCUGAUAUUGUGAAAAGCACGGGGAAGAAGAUCGACUUGGACUUUGAUUGGGAAGUUAUUGAUGGACCUCGGAAUUCUGAUGUAUGCAGUCUCUUUGUCAAUAGUCUUGGAAGCAUCAUACGAAAAAGAGUGGCAAUGAAGAAGGAAUCGUGGUAUGAUUUAGACAAGGAGGAGAGGAAAAAGCUUUUUGACAGUUUCACUGUAAGUUAAGAUAACUUUCAGUUAAUUUUUUUUGGUUAUUUUGAUUCCCUACAUCAUUGCAACUUAAUGGUUUCAUGUUUUCUAUGCCUUGCAGUGUUUUUUUUAAUCAUUGAUUUUAGGGCUAAUUACAUAGAAGUCCACUUUCAGAUAUUUUAUUUCAGAUAAGUCCACCCAAACAUUUUUACUCACAUAAGUCCACCUAAGUCUAAAUAGGGUUUUAUAUUAGGUAUAAAAGUUGAACAAAAUUACAGACUGCCAUCCAAUAAAAAACAUUAGAUUCUCUCCUUUAUAUUUACAAGAAUGCCACUAGUAUAAAAAGUCAACAACCACUCUCAUCGUGGAAAAGUCUCCGGCCGACCUCCGGCGAGGUUUUUCGGCUGAUCUCCGGCGAGGUUUUCGGCCGACCUCCGGCGAGGUUUCCGGCCGACCUCCGGUGAGGUUUCCGACUGACCUCCGACGAUGAUAAAAAUUACUACUACCACCUACAAAAACUACUAUCACCAGCUACAAAAGCUACUACCACCGCCUACAAAAGCUACUACUGUGAGGUUUUCAAUGAACACAAAAGCUACUACCACAAACUACUACCACCAACCACAAAAGCUACUACCACAAGUUACAAAUGCUACUACCACCGCUUAUAAAAGCUACUACUGUGAGGUUUCCGACGAACACAAAAACUACUAUCACCAACCACAAAAGCUACUACCACCAGCUACAAAAGCUACUACCACCGCCUAUAAAAGCUACUACUACCGCCUACANNNNN